ACUCCGUACGGGAGGCAGCAGGUGGGGAAUAUUGCACAAUGGGCGCAAGCCUGAUGCAGCAACGCCGUGUGAGUGAAGAAGGUUUUCGGAUCGUAAAACUCUGUCCUAAGGGAAGAAACAAAUGACGGUACCUUAGGAGGAAGCCCCGGCUAACUACGUGCCAGCAGCCGCGGUAAUACGUAGGGGGCAAGCGUUAUCCGGAAUCACUGGGCGUAAAGGGUGCGUAGGCGGCUUAGCAAGCCAGGGGUGAAAGGCAUUGGCUCAACCAAUGUAAGCCUUUGGAACUGUUAAGCUUGAGUGCAGGAGAGGUAAGUGGAAUUCCUAGUGUAGAGGUGAAAUUCGUAGAUAUUAGGAGGAACACCAGUGGCGAAGGCGACUUACUGGACUGUAACUGACGCUGAUGCACGAAAGCGUGGGUAGCGAACAGGAUUAGAUACCCUGGUAGCACAGAG
rnacentral:rRNA from 1 species